GUCUACGGCCAUACCACCCUGAAUCCACCCAGGCAGCUAAGCAGAGUCAGCCCUGGGUAAUAAUAGCACAGGAGAGUCUGAAUCCUCAAACCAUGUAGCUUAGCCG
rnacentral:rRNA from 1 species